AUGAACGCUGGCGGCGUGCUUAACACAUGCAAGUCGAACGAAGCACUUUAUUUGAUUUCCUUCGGGACUGAUUAUUUUGUGACUGAGUGACGGACGGGUGAGUAACGCGUGGGUAACCUGCCUUGUACAGGGGGAUAACAGUUGGAAACGGCUGCUAAUACCGCAUAAGCGCACAGCAUCGCAUGAUGCAGUGUGAAAAACUCCGGUGGUAUAAGAUGGACCCGCGUUGGAUUAGCUAGUUGGUGAGGUAACGGCCCACCAAGGCGACGAUCCAUAGCCGACCUGAGAGGGUGACCGGCCACAGUGGGACUGAGACACGGCCCAAACUCCUACGGGAGGCAGCAGUGGGGAAUAUUGCACAAUGGGCGAAAGCCUGAUGCAGCGACGCCGCGUGAGCGAAGAAGUAUUUCGGUAUGUAAAGCUCUAUCAGCAGGGAAGAUAAUGACGGUACCUGACUAAGAAGCACCGGCUAAAUACGUG
rnacentral:rRNA from 1 species